rnacentral:rRNA from 1 species
AGCGAACGCUGGCGGCAGGCUUAACACAUGCAAGUCGAACGGGCUUCUUCGGAAGUCAGUGGCAGACGGGUGAGUAACACGUGGGAACGUGCCCUUCGGUUCGGAAUAACUCAGGGAAACUUGAGCUAAUACCGGAUACGCCCUUAUGGGGAAAGGUUUACUGCCGAAGGAUCGGCCCGCGUCUGAUUAGCUUGUUGGUGAGGUAACGGCCUACCAAGGCGACGAUCAGUAGCUGGUCUGAGAGGAUGAUCAGCCACACUGGGACUGAGACACGGCCCAGACUCCUACGGGAGGCAGCAGUGGGGAAUAUUGGACAAUGGGCGCAAGCCUGAUCCAGCCAUGCCGCGUGAGUGAUGAAGGCCUUAGGGUUGUAAAGCUCUUUUGUCCGGGACGAUAAUGACGGUACCGGAAGAAUAAGCCCCGGCUAACUUCGUG